CUCAUAAUAAAAUCAUAAAUAUUUUUCUUCUAGAAAUAGUUUUAGCUUUUAUAGCUUUAAUUUUUAAAUUAGAUGAAUAUUGUAUUAUGAAUUAAUUUUUAUGUUUGGUGAGUGAUAUAGUUGAUUAAUCCACUUGAUUAUUUAACACUAUUAGCCAAAUUUUUAUAAAAAGUCAUGUAGGUUCCUAAACAAUAUUUUCAUACCUGUCAAAUAUCUUCAUGAGUAUAGGCAUUCCUGAUGGAAUGUUGAAGCUGCAUUAAAUUUUCUAAAAUAAUUAUAUAUUAUGCAGGCAUUUUAGUUAAUCAUUUUAGUAUUCUUGAUUUAAGUCAAAGUCCACAAACUUGUAAAAAUCAUAAUCUAUUUUACAAGGUCUUAAUGUAUUUUCCUAAAUUGUUAUGUUUCAAGUGUAUUAUUUAGAUUUAUAACUUUUGGAAAUGAUAGUAUCUGUUCCUAUGCUUGCUGUAAGGGUCACAUCGCUGCUAAGACUUAUGAAGGGCUCGGGAUGGGGCCAAGGACGUAGUGAGCAUCAUCGAAUUGCCGAACCAUUACUAUUGCAAGAUAGUCUUCUGUGGUGUUCUAAGAUAGGUUUAUUUGUUGAACAACAACCACCACAACAAGAAACAACAAUAAAUGAAUUAAAAGCACAAAAAAUUAUGAAUACCAGUCUAGUGCUAGAUACAAAGAAAAACUUCAUUCAAUUAUAGAACAGUGAAUAAUUGCAAAACUAUUUCAGCUUGAAUUGUGUUUUUUUAAUUUUCUUUUUUUGUUAUAUGAAAUUAAGGUAAAAAUUCCCUUUUAAAGAUAAAUAAUGGUUUCUUAUUGAACAAAAUGACAUUGAAAAUGUAAAAUGCAUGGUUUCUACAUUGAAAGUUCCUGAGGGGUUCUAGAGAUUAAUAUUUGAAAUUACUACCCUAGGAAUAUUUUAUAAAACUCUCUCCAGUGAAUAAGACUUUAAAAGAAAAAUUAGAUUAAGAAUAAAAUAGAAAUAAAACUUCAUCUCUUUAAAAUAAAUAAGGUGUAUCUAUGGCCAUACACAAAUAUAGAAAUUCGUUUUACUAGAUAAAUUUAACAAUUUAUGUUCUUACUUAGUAUCUCUCUGGAGCUGAUAAUAUGAAAUAUUUCUCACAUACAAAUGGAAAUUAGAUUAGUCAAAUUAGACAGAAUGGCCUAGCUUUUUUAUAUGAGAAUACUUUUGUGGUUUUGAUUUGAAAUAUAAUAGUUGGCUCAUUUUUGUGCAGACAUAUGAAGUAUCUUGAAAAUUGAAUGAUUCUGUCUGUAAAAUAAAAUAAAUUGGAUUUUCCCCAUAAUUUGGUACACUGGUGAAAAUAACUAUAUAAAAUGAAUUUUCUCUUGUUGGAAGAUUUUUUUAAAUCUUGAAAAUUUCCUUAAAAUAUUCAAUAUUUACUUUGUAUAAUCUUACAAUUAAGAAAAUGAUCACUCUUAAUGUUGUCAGCAGUCAAAGAGAACACAUCCUCUAUUUGAGUACUUUGGUCUUGGAAAGGGGCUAUACAUUUUUGUUUAUUUAAUUUGAUUUGGAAUGUACUCAAAGAAACGAGGUGGCUAAAUAUUAGUGUGUAUGGUAUAGCUAAAAAGUGUAAAUGAUCAAAAAUCUUUUAACAGUAGGAUGCUUGUUUUUUUUAUGCUAUUGCGCUCAACAUCUUAAGUAAAAAUUUCAUGUGUUUCCUGGAAUAUUUUGUCAUCUCUUACACUACUUCAUAAAUGGGACACAUAUUCUUAGUGUCCCAUUUAAUUUAGUAAUCCACAAAUAUUUAUCAAGCACUUAACAUGUGUCAGACAUUGCUAUAAAUGCUGAUAAUUGAACAACAUAAUAUUUCUCAUCACUGAAGUUUACAUCUUAUCAAGGUAGAAAAUUAAAACCUAAUAAAAAUGCAGUGUUAAGAGACAUAGAUAAGGCUGUGUGUGAAGUGCUGUGGGAAAACAGGGCAAUAGACAAAGAAUAGUGUUCUACCCCAUAUGGCAGGGGCAUUGCUUAGGAAGAGGGUAUUAAAUCACAAUAACCAUUAUAGAGUUGUUCAGAGUGAAAGCUAGAGUUUCCAUUUGAUGCUUGCAUUUGAUUCACUGACUCUUAUCAGUUCACAUCAUUUUAAUAAAAAAUGAAGAAGCUGGGUUCAAUGCCUUACACUGUAAUCCCACCACUGAGAGAGGCUGAGGCAUGAAGACUGCAAGUUCAAGUUCUGCCUAGAAAAUUAGUGUGACCAUGUAUCAAAGUUUUAAAAACAUAAAAAAAGUAGUUUAGUAGUAGAGAGCCCUUGGGUUAGAUCCCCAGUACUGGGGGAGUGGGGGGAAUGAUUCAUGAGUACAGAUAUAAAAGUUAAGUGGAUAAAUUAAUUUUUUUAAAAAAAACUUUCAAAGACAUCAAUGUAAGAAAUGCAUAUUUAGGUUGUUUUAGACACAAAUAUAAGUUAUGACAGGGAAAACAAAUACAAGCUAUGAGUUUUUGUUCGUUUGUUUUUGUUUUGUUUUGUUUUUUGGUACCUGAGUAUUGAACUCAGGACCCUGCGCUUGUGAGGCAGGCAUGGCGCCACUGAGCUAAAUUCUCAGCCCAUAAGCUAUGAGUUUUAAAAUAAAUGGAAAUGAUUGUGAGGUUCAAAGUUAAUAUGACUCAUUUAGUUUACGUUAAUUGAUUCACUUAUAAGCUUCUGUGACAGUGGUGGCACAGUAGAGGUGAUAUAACACACAAAAUGAAUGGGAUAAGCACUCAAGAACUGCAUGUUUUUUCUUGAAACUUCAUUUAGCCUAAUCAUUCAUAGAUUGUUUCUGGAAUUGGUACCAUGUGAGUUUUAAUGAAUAUAUCUCCCUGAUUGUAUCCUCUGUUAUUUAGUGUUAACAUUGAGAUAGAAUAUUUGAGUGCAACAGUCUUAAUGCUUUGUCAUUUAGAGAUAAAUAACAAAUAGCAGGUCAUUUUGAAGGUCUUUAUUGUAAUAUUUCCUUUGCAGCCUGAGUUCUUAAUGUCUGCCCCAUUCGUGUGAUUUUGCAAAGCAGCCUUUUGGCAUAACCCCACACAUACCUGUGUAGAGAAACAAAAGGUCAUCUGGAGAUGAAAACAGUUCAUUUCAUCUUCAGUGCUAUUGUUUCUCUACACAGUGCAUUUCUGGUGCAUUCUUAUAAGAACAAUAGUGGUAUUUGAUUUGUGUAAAGAAGGGCAUAUUUACAAAAGUAUGAUUUCCUAAUCUCCCAACAGACUCCAGGGUACAGCCUAGUGAUUUUCUAUCUUUACAAACUGUUCACUGAUCUGGCAAAGAAAAUUGCUACAAAGUCUACAAUCCAAUAACUAAAUGGCCUCAGAGAACCGAGUUCUAAAUCCUGGCAAGGAGCAGUACUUAACUGUAUGAACAGAGUGAUAUUGCAAUUAUAUCUGAUGAUUUUCUGGAACUACAAGGUCCUGUUCUUUUUUUUAAUAAUGUGUCACAGAACUACUGAAUAUUUUUUUGCAAAAGACUGUAUACUGGUAGCUUCGGUUUCAUGUACUGUAGCAAAGGCCUUAGUGGAUUUCUAUU
ensembl:lncRNA